rnacentral:rRNA from 1 species
CUUUGGCUUCUAGCCAGAAAAAAUAUACUUACUAGAGAUAAUCUGUUAAAAAGAGGCUGGAAGGGGGAUAAAAAUUGUGUGUUCUGUGGUAAGGAUGAGACGAUAGAUCAUCUAUUUUUCUCUUGCUCAGUAGCAAAAACCAUCUGGGCUCUAGUAAGAUGUGCAUUUGAUCUGAAAUGCACUCCUAGAGACCUCAAUGAUUGUUUGGGAAUAUGGCUAAAAAUUUCCAGAAAGAUAGCAAGAAACUUAUGUUGGUUGGCGUCUCAGCGCUGUUGUGGGCGAUCUAGAGAUGCAGAAAUAGCAUUGUGUUUGAUAGAAAAAUGA